rnacentral:piRNA from 1 species
UGGGUGGCAUGUUGGACACACAUCUGGUACU